CCAGGUGCCCCCAGGUGCGCCCAGGUGCCCCCAGGUGCGCCCAGGUGCGUCAGUCGCCGCCGUUGGCGCGGAUGGUGCGGCGGAUCCAGGCGGUGAAGGCGCACACCCGGCUGUACACACCUGGCUUGCCCUGCUGGCCGCACACCUGCAGCCCCCAGGAGACCACGCCCUGCAGGUACCCGUCACACACCAGCGGGCCCCCGGAGUCACCCUGCGGCGGGGGACAGGGGGACAGGUGAGAAAUGGGACAGGUGGGACAGGUGGGACAGGUGAGACAGGUGAGAUUGGUGGGACAGGUGGGACACAGGUGGGACAGGUGAGACAGGUGGGACACAGGUGGGACAGGUGGGACACAGGUGGGACAGGUGGGACAGGUGGGACAGGUGAGACACAGGUGGGACAGGUGAGACACAGGUGAGAGAUAAGUGAGAAAGAUGGAACAGGUGAAAUAGGUG
rnacentral:lncRNA from 1 species